UACGUAGGGUGCAAGCGUUAAUCGGAAUUACUGGGCGUAAAGCGUGCGCAGGCGGCUAUGCAAGACAGAUGUGAAAUCCCCGGGCUCAACCUGGGAACUGCAUUUGUGACUGCAUGGCUAGAGUGCGGCAGAGGGGGAUGGAAUUCCGCGUGUAGCAGUGAAAUGCGUAGAUAUGCGGAGGAACACCGAUGGCGAAGGCAAUCCCCUGGGCCUGCACUGACGCUCAUGCACGAAAGCGUGGGGAGCAACAGG
rnacentral:rRNA from 1 species